rnacentral:lncRNA from 1 species
UUCGGCGCUCCGGCUCCUCAGAGAGCCUCGGCUAGGUGUGGAAACAGGAAGAGAACUAGAACUGGAAGUAAAGCAUUGAAGAUGUGACUGAAUUGCUGCAAUCUCAUGAUCAAAUUUGAAUGGAUGAGGAGUUGCUUUUUAGGGAUGAGCAAAGAAAGUGGUUUCUCGAGAUGGAAUCUACUGGUGAAGUUGCUGUGAACAUUGUUAAAAUGCCAAUAAAGGAUUUAGGAAUUACAGAAACCUGGUUGAUAAAGCAGUGCCAGGGUGUGAGAGAGUUGACUUCAAUUUUGAAAUAAGUUCCACUGGCUGGGUGUGGUGGCUCACACCUGCAAUCCCAGUACUUUAGGAGGCCGAGACUGGUAGAUCAUUUGAGGUCAGGAGUUCAAGACCAGCCUUGCCAACAUGGUGAAACCCCACCUCUACCAAAUUAGCCAGGUUGCUCCUUGAGGGCAGGACAGUUCUUAUGGCUUUAUCCGUUGCGUAAGCACAGAGAGGUCUGCGAGGUCAAAACUAUUGUCAUGAUAGCAAGAUGCCUGUCUUUUUCAUUUAUUCUCACGGUGUGCAGAGGCUACAUGAUGUGUGAUGACAUCCUCAUUGAUGUUAAUGAAUGGUGCUAUACUUGAAUUUUCUAAGGUGUCAUUAGGUAGGUUUAGGUAUGCAUACUUGUUUUUAGAAAUUAUUUUUUUCCUUUUUCCCAUUUUUAGAAAUCAACUCAUUUUUUAGGUUAUGCCUUC